rnacentral:sRNA from 1 species
AAAUCUUCGAUAACCCGAAGGAAGAACGUCUUAAAUCAUUCCUUUCGGAAGUUCUCUGAAAAUACAUAAAGAGUUUUAUGAAUCUUUCAUUGACAGACAACGGACGGAAGGAUAUAAUGGAUAUCGUGGUUGACGGAAACGUCGGCCAACAGGUUUUAAGGUUUUAGGAGGAAUUAUCACAUGGUCGGUAAAGUAAAAUGGUUCAGCGCAGAAAAAGGUUAUGGAUUUAUUGAAAGAGAAGACGGAAGCGACGUUUUCGUACAUUUUUCUGCAAUCCAGGACGAAGGCUUCAAGACUCUGAACGAGGGUCAGGAUGUUGAGUUCGAGAUUGUUGAAGGAGCUCGCGGCCCGCAGGCAGCAAACGUCGUCAAGAAAUCUGCAUAAUAGAUUCUGACAAGGUGUGGCAAAGCAAUUUGCCACACUUUUU